rnacentral:lncRNA from 1 species
CACUCUUAAUGCACCAAACCAAUUCAUUUAUCCUGUUACAAUCAUGUGGCUUACAUCGUCAUCAACUUCUCCCUCCUUAUUCAUGUACUAUUGAUCCAAAGUACUAAAAUACAUCCGUCUUGAUUAUAUUGUAUUUCGCCAUAUACACAAUCCAUGCAUCUCUUAUCAUCAAAAAUACAUGAACAACAGGAGCAAAAACCUUAUAACCAGAGAACCCACCUAAGAAGGGACUUUUUCAUAAACAGAUCAUGGGCAUCCAUUUUCCUAGAAAUAACACCCUUAGUUGAGAAUUCAUUUACCUCCUGCAUAGAAAAUCCAUGAGCAGAGAUGAAUUCGACCUAAGAUUGGUUCUUUUUUCAUUUAUCAACAACAUCAAGUUGGUCUUGACGAGAGAAAUGUUGGGCAACCUUAAAAAAAUUUUGCAUAUCCGAGUGAAAGCAUACCUAUGUUCGCAUUCAUAAUGAUAUUUGCAUCAGAUUCAAUUGAAUCAGAAAAGAGAAUUAGCGGCAGAGCCUCCGAUUUAACCAUUUUAGGAGUUUCCUUCAGAUAAGUGCAAAUGACUAACCAUGAGGGGAAAGAAGAUGAGGGCCAGAGAAAAGGGAAAAGGAAGGGAAACAGAGCGGAGAAAAGGAAACAAUUGAUAGGUGAUGGGGGGUAUAAUCA